rnacentral:lncRNA from 1 species
UUUAAGCAGCACCACCGAACUGUCCUUGACCGUGGACAUGGCUAUUCGAAUAGUUUUACACUCUGGAGAGGUACUACGCUGGACCCACGAGAUCCGGUAAACUUUCGUGUCAUCCACAACUCACGGUAUAUAGCAUGCCCGAGGUAAGUACCCGAUCAAUGCUUUUCCCCUAACAAUACUAGACAAAGAGGUACUGUCGAUUGGUACCCCACCCACAUGUUGUACGUCUUACGAGCAUCGACUCUGGAUCGUAUCAACCAUGUGGGGAGCAACGGUGUGCGUGGAACUCAUAAAAAUGGCAUAGUCGUCCUACCUGGCACGACCCCAUCACGAGAGUGACCACACAUCAUUCCCGCCACUAGUAAUGUGGCUCUUUGCUAGCACCGACCAAAGUAAUCAACAUAGCCCCGUCCCAUAAGUGGUAACGUGGUCGUACUGGUAAGGUUGGGACGGUCGACACAUCAUAAAUCUAAUCCCAUUUCCGAAACCAUACUCACACAAAUAACCAGUGCACCACUUCACCGAAAGUGGCCACCUAACUCAUCAUCACCCUCGGGCAUUAGUGGCACCCGACGGGGUUUUCAUAAAUCUUUGAUUUAUACCAACAACAUGCUCAUGCUAUUUAUUCUAGCAUUACUUGUCAACAUGAUAAUAGCAUGAUCCUCAAAAGGGGUAGGAUCAAGCUCAAUGCAUGUGCUCCGGAGGAGCCAUAGGUAACAUCACCUUAGUUAUCUACCGACACUUAUGAUCAUAUGCAACGGAAUUACUUGCUAUCUUAACAUGCAAUAUAAGAUAUGCUCGGUCAUGGUCAAAGGGUUACUUGC